GCGGCCUAUCAGCUUGUUGGUGAGGUAAUGGCUCACCAAGGCGACGACGGGUAGCCGGCCUGAGAGGGCGACCGGCCACACUGGGACUGAGACACGGCCCAGACUCCUACGGGAGGCAGCAGUGGGGAAUAUUGGGCAAUGGAGGAAACUCUGACCCAGCGACGCCGCGUGCGGGAUGAAGGCCCUCGGGUCGUAAACCGCUUUCAGCAGGGAAGAAGCGAAAGUGACGGUACCUGCAGAAGAAGCACCGGCUAACUAUGUGCCAGCAGCCGCGGUAAUACAUAGGGUGCAAGCGUUGUCCGGAAUUAUUGGGCGUAAAGAGCUCGUAGGUGGUUCGUCACGUCGGAUGUGAAAAUCUGGGGCUCAACCCCAGACCUGCAUUCGAUACGGGCGAUCUAGAGUGUGGUAGGGGAGACUGGAAUUCCU
rnacentral:rRNA from 1 species